UGCCCGUGGGCGGGCGGCUAAACAUGCAAGUCGAGCGGAAACGAGUUAACUGAACCUUCGGGGGACGUUAACGGCGUCGAGCGGCGGACGGGUGAGUAAUGCCUAGGAAAUUGCCCUGAUGUGGGGGAUAACCAUUGGAAACGAUGGCUAAUACCGCAUGAUGCCUACGGGCCAAAGAGGGGGACCUUCGGGCCUCUCGCGUCAGGAUAUGCCUAGGUGGGAUUAGCUAGUUGGUGAGGUAAGGGCUCACCAAGGCGACGAUCCCUAGCUGGUCUGAGAGGAUGAUCAGCCACACUGGAACUGAGACACGGUCCAGACUCCUACGGGAGGCAGCAGUGGGGAAUAUUGCACAAUGGGCGCAAGCCUGAUGCAGCCAUGCCGCGUGUGUGAAGAAGGCCUUCGGGUUGUAAAGCACUUUCAGUCGUGAGGAAGGUUUAGGCGUUAAUAGCUGAUUUAUUUGACGUUAGCGACAGAAGAAGCACCGGCUAACUCCGUGCCAGCAGCCGCGGUAAUACGGAGGGUGCGAGCGUUAAUCGGAAUUACUGGGCGUAAAGCGCAUGCAGGUGGUUUGUUAAGUCAGAUGUGAAAGCCCGGGGCUCAACCUCGGAAUAGCAUUUGAAACUGGCAGACUAGAGUACUGUAGAGGGGGGUAGAAUUUCAGGUGUAGCGGUGAAAUGCGUAGAGAUCUGAAGGAAUACCGGUGGCGAAGGCGGCCCCCUGGACAGAUACUGACACUCAGAUGCGAAAAGCGUGGGGAGCAAACAGGAUUAGAUACCCUGGUAGUCCACGCCGUAAACGAUGUCUACUUGGAGGUUGUGGCCUUGAGCCGUGGCUUUCGGAGCUAACGCGUUAAGUAGACCGCCUGGGGAGUACGGUCGCAAGAUUAAAACUCAAAUGAAUUGACGGGGGCCCGCACAAGCGGUGGAGCAUGUGGUUUAAUUCGAUGCAACGCGAAGAACCUUACCUACUCUUGACAUCCAGAGAACUUUCCAGAGAUGGAUUGGUGCCUUCGGGAACUCUGAGACAGGUGCUGCAUGGCUGUCGUCAGCUCGUGUUGUGAAAUGUUGGGUUAAGUCCCGCAACGAGCGCAACCCUUAUCCUUGUUUGCCAGCGAGUAAUGUCGGGAACUCCAGGGAGACUGCCGGUGAUAAACCGGAGGAAGGUGGGGACGACGUCAAGUCAUCAUGGCCCUUACGAGUAGGGCUACACACGUGCUACAAUGGCGCAUACAGAGGGCGGCCAACUUGCGAAAGUGAGCGAAUCCCAAAAAGUGCGUCGUAGUCCGGAUUGGAGUCUGCAACUCGACUCCAUGAAGUCGGAAUCGCUAGUAAUCGUGGAUCAGAAUGCCACGGUGAAUACGUUCCCGGGCCUUGUACACACCGCCCGUCACACCAUGGGAGUGGGCUGCAAAAGAAGUAGGUAGUUUAACCUUCGGGGGGACGCUUACCACUUGUGUUCCCAAGGC
rnacentral:rRNA from 1 species